CCCGCGGGGCAGCGCGGUUGCCGCGAGCUGCGCCCCGCGUGGGGAGAGUCACGGCCGGGACGGGAAGAGGCGGGAGCCAARCGGGAGCGGGCUGCCCGAAACGCCGCGGGAGCAAACUUGAGGCGGGGUGAAAGAAGGGGUAGCGCUUCGCGUUCCCUCUUGCUUUUUCAAAGCACAGGUUAAAACGCACGAGUCGCCCAACACCUGCGCUCGUUUUGAGGACGGAAAGCAGAAGAGGAGGAAGACGGCUGUUUUCGGGUCCCCCGUGCUGUUCAUUUGGUUUCGUUCAAACCUUUGGGGAGAACUUUCCCAUACGGCCCACAGAUUUUGCAGCGAGUCAGCCAGGAAGCUUUUGGGGGCAAAAUGAGUGUAUUUGCCCCUCGGCAUCCUUCGCUAACAGGAAUCAGUCUCCUGCCUCCUUCCCCUCCGGCCUUUUAACCAGCUUCAUCUCAAAUAGCCGCCUCGCGCGGGCUCAGCACCCAGGUCCGCGCUUACCGCUACGGAUAAAACAGCCACGUGCAAGAAAACGGGCAAUAGCCAGUACCGAUGCAGAGAGGAAAGCAGCUGUGGAGGUGAUCAGUGCUCCGCUGGCCAGCGGCCGACGUUGCUCCAGGCGCGCGGGCAGCGCCGCUGAGACCUGGCGAGGCGCAGACCGGGUCAGCAAACGUCUACGUGCCGCGGCCCGCGUGCUUGAGCUGAGCGCACAUGUCAAAGCUGUGCUGCAGGAGGCCCAAGCAAGCAAAACUUGUUACCUGCAACUCCCAGCUGAGGUAUAUACAUUUUGCAUAUACAUAUGUAUAUGUAUGUAGCAGGGAGAAUGUUUUAUGGAUGCUUUU
rnacentral:lncRNA from 1 species